rnacentral:rRNA from 1 species
GGGAAUAUUGGACAAUGGGGGGAACCCUGAUCCAGCGACGCCGCGUGAGUGAAGAAGUAUUUCGGUAUGUAAAGCUCUAUCAGCAGGGAAGAAAGAAAUGACGGUACCUGACUAAGAAGCCCCGGCUAACUACGUGCCAGCAGCCGCGGUAAUACGUAGGGGGCAAGCGUUAUCCGGAUUUACUGGGUGUAAAGGGGGCGCAGACGGCAGCGCAAGCCAGGAGUGAAAGCCCGGGGCCCAACCCCGGGACUGCUCUUGGAACUGCGCGGCUGGAGUGCAGGAGGGGCAGGCGGAAUUCCUGGUGUAGCGGUGAAAUGCGUAGAUAUCAGGAGGAACACCGGUGGCGAAGGCGGCCUGCUGGACUGCGACUGACGUUGAGGCCCGAAAGCGUGGGGAGCAAACAGG